GUGAGGAAUAUUGGUCAAUGGGCGGGAGCCUGAACCAGCCAAGUCGCGUGAAGGAAGAAGGAUCUAUGGUUCGUAAACUUCUUUUGCAGGGGAAUAAAGUGCGGGACGUGUCCUGUUUUGUAUGUACCCUGAGAAUAAGGAUCGGCUAACUCCGUGCCAGCAGCCGCGGUAAUACGGAGGAUCCGAGCGUUAUCCGGAUUUAUUGGGUUUAAAGGGUGCGUAGGUGGUUUGAUAAGUCAGCGGUGAAAGUUUGCAGCUUAACUGUAAAAAUGCCGUUGAAACUGUCGGACUUGAGUGUAAAUGAGGUAGGCGGAAUGCGUGGUGUAGCGGUGAAAUGCAUAGAUAUCACGCAGAACUCCGAUUGCGAAGGCAGCUUACUAAGCUACAACUGACACUGAAGCACGAAAGCGUGGGGAUCAAACAGGAUUAGAAACUCGUGUAGUCC
rnacentral:rRNA from 1 species